rnacentral:rRNA from 1 species
UACAGAGGUCCCGAGCGUUGUUCGGAUUCACUGGGCGUAAAGGGUGCGUAGGCGGUUUGUCGCGUCUGCUGUGAAAAUCCAGGGCUUAACCCUGGACCUGCAGUGGGUACGGGCAGACUAGAGUGCGGUAGGGGAGAUCGGAAUUCCUGGUGUAGCGGUGGAAAUGCGCAGAUAUCAGGAGGAACACCGGUGGCGAAGGCGGAUCUCUGGGCCGUAACUGACGCUGGAGGAGCGAAAGCUGGGGAGCGAACGG